rnacentral:rRNA from 1 species
AUUGAACGCUGGCGGCAUGCCUUACACAUGCAAGUCGAACGGCAGCGCGGGCUUCGGCCUGGCGGCGAGUGGCGAACGGGUGAGUAAUGCAUCGGAACGUGCCCAGUAGUGGGGGAUAGCCCAGCGAAAGCCGGAUUAAUACCGCAUACGACCUGAGGGUGAAAGCGGGGGACCGAAAGGCCUCGCGCUAUUGGAGCGGCCGAUGUCGGAUUAGCUAGUUGGUGGGGUAAAGGCUUACCAAGGCGACGAUCCGUAGCUGGUCUGAGAGGACGACCAGCCACACUGGGACUGAGACACGGCCCAGACUCCUACGGGAGGCAGCAGUGGGGAAUUUUGGACAAUGGGGGCAACCCUGAUCCAGCCACGCCGCGUGCGGGAAGAAGGCCUUCGGGUUGUAAACCGCUUUUGUUCGGGAAGAAAUCCUCUGGGCUAAUACCCCGGGGGGAUGACGGUACCGGAAGAAUAAGCACCGGCUAACUACGUG